UGCAUGGCCUUUGCCUUGAGAUGCAGGUGU
rnacentral:piRNA from 1 species